rnacentral:pre_miRNA from 1 species
UUGUUGUCUAUAAAAGCUACUGGACACUGCCCAAGAUUGAGAAAGGCACUCUUGUGCGUGUGACAGCGGCUAUUGUAGCACAACAAUAGUCAUCAA